UGCGUUCAUAUCACGUUGAAACACCUGUUCCCAUACAAUCACCGAAGUUAAGCAACGUCGAACCUGGUCAGUACCCAAAUGGGGAACCGCUUGGGAAUACCAAGUGCUGUAAG